CACACACGCGACACACACGACACACACAGCUUCUCCUCUCAGAUAGGUGACAGGUUCAUCAGAGCUAUGGCACAAAGCAUGAGCCCUACAUUUCCCAUCAUAUCUCUUUUAACUCUCUGGAUUGGAGGUUCUGUGGGGAUCAUCACAGUGGAUCAGUCUCCUGCAGUCAUCAAUGCCCAGCCUCAGGACACUGUGCAGAUUCUUUGUCGAGCCUCACAAGAUAUUGGCAAUGAUAUAGAACUCUUCCAGUUUAAACCUGGACAAGCUCCCAAACUAGUGAUUCAUGAUAGUUACGGUCGGCCCUCGAGCACUCCACAGAGGUUCAGUGGCCUUUUGAAUGGGCCUCUGACCACCUUCACCAUCAGUGGAGUGCAGCUGGAGGAUGAAGCCGUGUACUACUGCCAGCAGAGUGAGGAGUUCCCGUUCACACAGUGAAAUAUCGCCGUACAAAAACCUCUGUGUACCUCCAUGCUUCAGUGAUCACUUCAGUCUUAUUCUGAGCCUGCAUACAUAGCCCUCCCCCACAACACACACACAUUACACUACACCAUUUAGUUAUUUGUUGUAUGUAAAUAUUUUAUUAUUAGAUAUUUAACACAUGUACUGUGACUCUUUGCAUAGUACAACAAACACAACAUAACUAUGAAAUGAAACUGUCAUGUACAACCAUUCAGAAUGCAUUUGCAGGGAAGGACAGCCAUCAUUGCCUGUAGCAAAGCUUAAGCAAGAUUAAGUUGUAUUCAUAAAGCUUUAGGACAAAAGUUUGAGAAAUGGGUGUUUCCUAAAUUAUAACUAUAUCAAUUAAGAGAGUGUAUAAAAUAAAUUAAAA